rnacentral:rRNA from 2 species
CAGAGCUUGCUCUGAUGAAAGUGGCGCACGGGUGAGUAACGCGUGGAUAACCUGCCCUGGUAUCUGGGAUAACAUCUCGAAAGGGGUGCUAAUACCGGAUAAGCCCACGGGUUCCUCGGAAUCUGCGGGAAAAGAAGGCCUCUAUUUAUAAGCUUUCGUAUCAUGAUGGGUCCGCGUACCAUUAGCUAGUUGGUGGGGUAAUGGCCUACCAAGGCGACGAUGGUUAGCUGGUCUGAGAGGAUGAUCAGCCACACUGGAACUGAGACACGGUCCAGACUCCUACGGGAGGCAGCAGUGGGGAAUUUUGCGCAAUGGGGGAAACCCUGACGCAGCAWCGCCGCGUGAGUGAUGAAGGCUUUCGGGUCGUAAAGCUCUGUCAGAGGGGAAGAAAUGGGUCGUGCUAAUAUCACKGCUUCUUGACGGUACCCUCAAAGGAAGCACCGGCUAACUCCGUGCCAGCAGCCGCGGUAAUAC